rnacentral:rRNA from 1 species
UACGAAGGGGGCUAGCGUUGCUCGGAAUCACUGGGCGUAAAGGGUGCGUAGGCGGGUCUUUAAGUCAGGGGUGAAAUCCUGGAGCUCAACUCCAGAACUGCCUUUGAUACUGAAGAUCUUGAGUCCGGGAGAGGUGAGUGGAACUGCGAGUGUAGAGGUGAAAUUCGUAGAUAUUCGCAAGAACACCAGUGGCGAAGGCGGCUCCCUGGCCCGGUACUGACGCUGAGGUGCGAAAGCGUGGGUAGCAAACAGG